AACUUGAGCGGCAAAAAUGGAAUAGUUCCAUAAAAUCGGCAGUUGAUCCACAUGAAAGAGUAAUGUAUCAACGUCACCCUAUGAUUCGAAAACAUACUGCUCUUAUCAUAAGAGAGGCUUCUUCUGUUGACGACGAAGUUGGAAGCAACUAUGAUGUUAAUACUUCCUCAAGUUCUUUUGAUAAAGGAAAAAAUGCCGCUCAUGCGUUUUCUGUAUUUGAAAGAGGUAAAGCUAGAACGUCUAUGAACAUCUUUGUUAGUACGCCACGGAUUAGGUGUACAUCUAAAUUGUGACAAUUUGUGCCCUAUGAUCAACAUCGCGUACAUCUAAGGGACAACAUAAUGUCUUCGCUACUGCCACAAGCAAAGGUUGUACCUCGACCAAAGUAAUCUAUAAGAAAAAUAAUGACAAAGAUGCGGAUUAUGCACGACUAAAACCUGUUCCAAACUGUAAAUUUUGCAAUGCAAAAAGGUUUCAAUAUGAACCUCCUGGAUUUUGUUGUGGCAGCGGGUCAGUUAAGUUAGUUUCAUAUGAGCUGCCUAAUGAAUUAUCAGAUUUGUAUAAAGCCAACACUGAAGAAGCUAAGCAUUUUUGAACUUACAUUAGAACAUACAAUAAUAUGUUUGCCUUUACGUCACUUGGUGUAACCAACGAUAAAGAUUUGGCGAGGAAAUAUCAUGGUAUAUAUACGUUUCGAGUUCAGGGACAAAUGUAUCAUUUUAUACCCGAUUUACUUCCUUCUGAUAAAAAAGGAUAGAAUAUGCAGUUAUAUUUUUACGAUAACGAAAAUGAACUGGCUAACAGAAUGGCUUGUUC